rnacentral:piRNA from 2 species
UACUGAUGUGGUGACUUCUCUGCU